rnacentral:rRNA from 1 species
AUUGAACGCUGGCGGCAGGCCUAACACAUGCAAGUCGAACGAGUGGCGGACGGGUGAGUAAUGUCUGGAACACUGCCUGAUGGAGGGGGAUAACUUCUGGAAACGGUCGCUAAUACCGCAUACCCUCAGAUGUGCCCAGAUGGGAUUAGCUAGUAGGUGGGGUAAAGGCUCACCUAGGCGACGAUCCCUAGCUGGUCUGAGAGGAUAACCAGCCACACUGGAACUGAGACACGGCCCAGACUCCUACGGGAGGCAGCAGUGGGGAAUAUUGCACAAUGGGCGCAAGCCUGAUGCAGCCAUGCCGCGUGUAUGAAGAAGGCCUUCGGGUUGUAAAGUACUUUCAGCGGGGAGGCGUUACCCGCAGAAGAAGCACCGGCUAACUCCGUGCCAGCAGCCGCGGUAAUUC